CCCUCUCCAGGGCAGGACACAGAGCAGGGUUCUGCCAGCAGCAAGGCAGUGGGUGUGCUAGGACUCCAUCCCAUCACGCUGACAGCUCUGCCUCAUUGUUUCCCCCUGCAGCCAUCUGCUUCUUGUGCCUUAUUCUGAGAUGGCAGAGCUGCUGUGAAGCAGCCCACCACCUCCCCUCAUGCUCACACAGCACCUACCAGCAGCACGGGAUGCUGCGUCCCGAGCAGGGACCCAAAGUGUUACAGUAGAAUAAGUCACAACACAUGGAACUAAAGCUGUUUACAGAACAUGGUGUUGCUGGAGCUUCCCAGAUAUACUGCUGACAAAAUAAUAUCACAUUUCAUCACAAUUUCCCUGAUGUGUGUCAACAGCAGAGGAGCCCUCUUCAACCAGUGCAGCUGAAAGCAACAUGUAUCAAAGUUGUAGGUCUUUCUGCUGAGGAGAAACAAGGUAGAGGCAAAAACUGCAAUCAAGAUCUGCCAAGAUUCAGCAUUCACAUGGUGUUAAUUAUGUCACCAAAGCACUGAACAGCUAACCAUGCCAGAAGUAUCCUGAUUUAUGCAGUCAUCUGCAAUUAUCCAAACAUGUCCGAGCUGGAGAAUAUACAGAAAUGAAGGCAGACUCAGAAAACACAGACUGGAGACUGAACACGGCCACCUUGAUGGCUGCUACCAAGUAAAUCAAGUGAGAUUGCUAUGGC